rnacentral:rRNA from 1 species
AUCGAACGCUGGCGGCAGGCCUAACACAUGCAAGUAGAACGAGUCGCGGACGGGUGAGUAAUGUCUGGGAAACUGCCUGAUGGAGCGGGCUAACUACUGGAAACGUUAGCUACUCCCGCUUACCACCAGUUGUGCCCAGAUGGGAUUAGCUUGGUGGCGGGGUAACGGCACACCAAGGCGACGACCCCUAGCUGGUCUGAGAGGAUGACCGACAAAACUGGAACUGAGACAAGGUCCGUACUCCGACGUGAGGCAGCAUAGGGGAAGAUGGCGCAAGGGGCGCAAGCCUGCAGAGGCAAUGCAGGGGGGAGGAAGAAGGCUUUCGGGUGUUAAAGUACUUUUAGAGGGGAGGCGUUAACCGAACAAGAAGCAACGGCUAACUACGUGCCAGCAGCCGCGGUAAUUC